rnacentral:rRNA from 1 species
UACGAAGGGGGCUAGCGUUGCUCGGAAUCACUGGGCGUAAAGCGCACGUAGGCGGCUUUUUAAGUCAGGGGUGAAAUCCUGGAGCUCAACUCCAGAACUGCCUUUGAUACUGAGAAGCUCGAGUCCGGGAGAGGUGAGUGGAACUGCGAGUGUAGAGGUGAAAUUCGUAGAUAUUCGCAAGAACACCAGUGGCGAAGGCGGCUCACUGGCUCGAUACUGACGCUGAGGCACGAAAGCGUGGGGAGCAAACAGG